UACGGGGGGGGCAAGCGUUGUUCGGAAUUACUGGGCGUAAAGGGCUCGUAGGCGGCCAACUAAGUCGGACGUGAAAUCCCCAGGCUCAACCUGGGAACUGCGUCCGAUACUGGAUGGCUUGAAUCCGGGAGAGGGAUGCAGAAUUCCAGGUGUAGCGGUGAAAUGCGUAGAUAUCUGGAGGAACACCGGUGGCGAAAGCGGCUCACUGGACCGUCUCUGACGCUGAGGUGCGAAAGCCAGGGUAGCGAACGGG
rnacentral:rRNA from 1 species